UGGGGAAUUUUGGACAAUGGGCGAAAGCCUGAUCCAGCAAUGCCGCGUGUGUGAAGAAGGCCUUCGGGUUGUAAAGCACUUUUGUCCGGAAAGAAAUCCUUGGCUCUAAUACAGUCGGGGGAUGACGGUACCGGAAGAAUAAGCACCGGCUAACUACGUGCCAGCAGCCGCGGUAAUACGUAGGGUGCAAGCGUUAAUCGGAAUUACUGGGCGUAAAGCGUGCGCAGGCGGUUUGCUAAGACCGAUGUGAAAUCCCCGGGCUCAACCUGGGAACUGCAUUGGUGACUGGCAGGCUAGAGUAUGGCAGAGGGGGGUAGAAUUCCACGUGUAGCAGUGAAAUGCGUAGAGAUGUGGAGGAAUACCGAUGGCGAAGGCAGCCCCCCUGGGCCAAUACUGACGCUCAUGCACGAAAGCGUGGGGAGCAAACAGGAUUAGAUACCCUGGUAGUCCACGCCCUAAACGAUGUCAACUAGUUGUUGGGGAUUCAUUUCCUUAGUAACGUAGCUAACGCGUGAAGUUGACCGCCUGGGGAGUACGGUCGCAAGAUUAAAACUCAAAUGGAAUUGACGGGGUCAUAGCUGUUUCCU
rnacentral:rRNA from 1 species